AUGUGCAAUUUGGCCACACCACGGGAAAUUUUGAAAAAUGAGAAAUGAAGCCGGAUCCAACAGUGUUAUAGUGUCCGUUAAGCCAAGAAAAAAAAAAAAAAAAAAAUGUAUCUCUCUCUCCAGUCGUGGAAAGCCAAGUAAUCGACGUAGAAGAAGGAAAGAAGAUGCGAGACAUGUUCGGAUCGGUUCGGCGUUCUUUCUCUCUCCGCUCGAAUCCCGCAGGAAAUGAUGGCGGCAGCCCUGGUAGCCGCAUUGUGGAAAGGAUCAGAGCGUUUGAGGUAAUCGAAGAUGGGGUUGGGCCUAGGGUUAGGUUUUUCACCCAAAGUCUCUGCAUCCCCCAGUGCUCUUUUUCCGGAGGAGACCAACGAUGAUGCCUCUCCGAUUUGGUGGAGAAAGCCAAGUAAUCCACGUAGAAUAAGGAAAGAAGAUGCGAGAUCUAUUCGGAUCGGUUCGGCGUUCUUUCUCUCUCCGUUCGAAUCCCGCAGGAAACGAUGGCGGCGGCCCUGGCAGCCGCAUUAUGGAAAGGAUGAGAUCGCGUUUGAGGAAAUCGAAGAUGUGGUUGGGCCUAUGGUUAGGUUUAUCACCCAAAUUCUCUGUAUCCCCCAAUGCUCUUUCUUCGUAGGAGACCAACGAUGAUGCCUCUCUGAUCCGGUGUAGAAAGGGCGAGCUAAUUGGCUGCGGCGCCUUUGGCCACGUCUACAUGGGGAUGAAUCUAGAUUCUGAGGAGCUUCUCGCUGUAAAGCAGGUUUUGCUUGGGACUAGCAAUGCCUCCAAGGAGAAGGUCCAAGUUAGAUUCUUUCCUUCCUUUUUCUUCAAAAAUGAAAUAUAACCCUGGUGUUGGUCUUUCCUGAACUGCCUUUCAGCUCGUCUUCCGCCUUAACAUCUUUACUUAUGUUUGCAAGCUCAUAUAAGGGAAUUUGAAGAAGAGGUGAAGCUUCUCAAGAACCUAUCACAUAUGAAUAUUGUCGUUAUAAAAAUGUAUAUCAAGCAGCUAUUGCAUGGACUGGAAUAUCAUCAUAAGGUGCAAAUAUUCUUGUUGAUAAUAAAGGAUGCA